UACGGGGGGUGCAAGCGUUGUUCGGAAUCAUUGGGCGUAAAGAGCGUGUAGGCGGCUGGAUAAGUCAGAUGUGAAAGCCCUGGGCUUAACCCAGGAAGUGCAUUUGAAACUAUUCAGCGGGAGUAAGGGAGAGGAAAGUGGAAGUCCUGGUGGAGAGGUGAAAUUCGUAGAUAUCAGGAGGAACACCGGCGGCGAAGGCGACGUUCUGGCCCUAUACUGACGCUGAGACGCGAGAGCGUGGGUAGCAAACAGGAUUAGAUACCCCCGUAGUCC
rnacentral:rRNA from 1 species